UAAAAAAUUGAAUUUCUGUGUCGAUACGGGAUUUCUCUCCCUCUCUCUCUCGAUUGCUCUCGAUCUCGCAUCCUCUCUCUGUGUUCUCAAUCGAUCAUUCCUUCAAUUAAUCAAUCAAUCAAUCCAUCGAAUGGUGGAGGAGAGUUUCAAAUACGUGAUUCUAAUCCAUGACAUCUCCACUGUGAAUGGUGUUGCCUAGUUGCAUAGUGACAUUUUAAAGUCCGAGUUAUUUGUAGACUACCACCACCAGCCACUGCCCCUCCGAUGAUGUUAGUUACAUGAGCACCAAUCGAUUGAUUCGGUAAGAUCCUUGGAUUAAUUCGUUUCAUUUCAACUCUAUGAUCUCAAGCAGCAAGGAUUCAUAGAGAGACAGGACCUUGUGAGAAUGGAACCUCAGAAGAGGUGAAGAAUAUAAUUUUUGUCGUUAAUGAUGGUGAAGUGCCUUCUCAGGAUGUUGUGGGUAAGUAAAUGCAGAAUGAAACUUACAGCUAAAUUGGUGUGUUUCUAUUCUAAUUUAUAUGCGUUCACCUGUUACUAUUUUUAUUAAGUACACCACUGGUGAUUUGCACAUAAAACUUCAUUAAAGUAUCUUGCAGAAAAUUAAGGGUCAAAGUUUUAAGAAUGUUUCUGUCAUAUGCUGUGUUGGUCUAAGAAUAUGGGAAAUCUUUGCAGCAGACUGGCCUUCCAUCACCAGCUUCAGCAGCAGCUGCUGCUAGAUCAUCAUCAGACUUCACCUCCACUGACAAUCUUAGCAGCUCAUCUUUUCUAUGUAUUUACAUAGACAUAGCAAUGGCAAAAUAAAAGUAACAUCAGUAUAUCUAAGCUGUAGAUUUGGGAACUAAAUCUAUUUAAAUACCUUAUAUUGUUUUUUUUAUUGAUCUUUGAAGCUGAAACAUUGAAUGAAAUCCUCUA